CCUACGGGUGGCUGCAGUGGGGAAUAUUGGACAAUGGGCGAAAGCCUGAUCCAGCCAUGCCGCGUGUGUGAAGAAGGCCUUCGGGUUGUAAAGCACUUUCAGUGGGGAAGAAAGCCUUGGGGCUAAUACCCUCGAGGAAGGACAUCACCCACAGAAGAAGCACCGGCUAACUCCGUGCCAGCAGCCGCGGUAAUACGGAGGGUGCGAGCGUUAAUCGGAAUUACUGGGCGUAAAGCGCGCGUAGGCGGUCUGAUAAGCCGGUUGUGAAAGCCCCGGGCUCAACCUGGGAACGGCAUCCGGAGCUGUCAGGUAAGAGGGCAGGAGAGGAAGGGAGAAGCCCCGGUGUAGGGGGGAAAUGCGUAGAGAUCGGGAGGAAUACCAGUGGCGAAGGCGGCCUUCUGGACUGACAGGGACGCUGAGGUGCGAAAGCGUGGGUAGCAAAAAGGAUUAGAGACCCUAGUAGUC
rnacentral:rRNA from 1 species